rnacentral:rRNA from 1 species
AUUGAACACUGGCGGCAGGCUUAACACAUGCAAGUCGAGCGGGGGAAGGUAGCUUGCUACCGGACCUAGCGGCGGACGGGUGAGUAAUGCUUAGGAAUCUGCCUAUUAGUGGGGGACAACAUCUCGAAAGGGAUGCUAAUACCGCAUACGUCCUACGGGAGAAAGCAGGGGAUCUUCGGACCUUGCGCUAAUAGAUGAGCCUAAGUCGGAGUUAGCUAGUUGGUGGGGUAAAGGCCUACCAAGGCGACGAUCUGUAGCGGGUCUGAGAGGAUGAUCCGCCACACUGGGACUGGGACACGGCCCAGACUCCUACGGGAGGCAGCAGUGGGGAAUAUUGGACAAUGGGGGGAACCCUGAUCCAGCCAUGCCGCGUGUGUGAAGAAGGCCUUAUGGUUGUAAAGCACUUUAAGCGAGGAGGAGGCUACUUUAGUUAAUACCUAGAGAUAGUGGACGUUACUCGCAGAAUAAGCACCGGCUAACUCUGUGCCAGCCGCCGCAGUAA